CGACCUCAGAGCAGGCGAGACUACCCGCUGAAUUUAAGCAUAUUACUAAGCGGAGGAAAAGAAACUAACAAGGAUUCCCCCAGUAGCGGCGAGCGAACAGGGAAGAGUCCAGCACCGAACCCCGCAGGCUGCCGCCUGUCGUGGCAUGUGGUGUUUGGGAGGGUCCACUACCCCGACGCCUCGCGCCGAGCCCAAGUCCAACUUGAAUGAGGCCACGGCCCGUAGAGGGUGCCAGGCCCGUAGCGGCCGGUGCGAGCGUCGGCGGGACCUCUCCUUCGAGUCGGGUUGCUUGAGAGUGCAGCUCCAAGUGGGUGGUAAACUCCAUCUGAGACUAAAUAUGACCACGAGACCGAUAGCGAACAAGUACCGUGAGGGAAAGUUGAAAAGAACUUUGAAGAGAGAGUUCAAAAGUACGUGAAACCGUUCUGGGGUAAACGUGAGAAGUCCGAAAGGUCGAACGGGUGAGAUUCACGCCCAUCCGGCCACUGGCCUCCGCCCUCGGCAGAUGGGGCCGGCCGCCCGCGCGGAGCAAUCUGCGGCGGGGUCGUGUCCGGUUGCCUUUCCACUCGCCGCGGGGUGGGGCCGUUCCGGUGUGCGGUGGGCCGCACUUCUCCCCUAGUAGGACGUCGCGACCCGCUGGGUGCCGGCCUACGGCCCGGGUGCGCAGCCUGUCCUUCCGCGGGCCUCGGUUCGCGUCUGUUGGGCAGAGCCCCGGUGUCCUGGCUGGCUGCCCGGCGGUAUAUCUGGAGGAGUCGAUUCGCCCCUUUGGGCGCUCGGGCUCCCGGCAAGCGCGCGCGGUUCUUCCCGGAUGACGGACCUACCUGGCCCGGCCCCGGACCCGCGCCGCUGUUGGCUCGGGAUGCUCUCGGGCGGAAUAAUCGCUCCCGUCAGCGGCGCUUCAGCUUUGGACAAUUUCACGACCCGUCUUGAAACACGGACCAAGGAGUCUAACAUGUGCGCGAGUCAUUGGGCUGUACGAAACCUAAAGGCGUAAUGAAAGUGAAGGUCUCGCCUUGCGCGGGCCGAGGGAGGAUGGGGCUUCCCCGCCCUUCACGGGGCGGCGGCCUCCGCACUCCCGGGGCGUCUCGUCCUCAUUGCGAGGUGAGGCGCACCUAGAGCGUACACGUUGGGACCCGAAAGAUGGUGAACUAUGCCUGGCCAGGACGAAGUCAGGGGAAACCCUGAUGGAGGUCCGUAGCGAUUCUGACGUGCAAAUCGAUCGUCGGAGCUGGGUAUAGGGGCGAAAGACUAAUCGAACCAUCUAGUAGCUGGUUCCCUCCGAAGUUUCCCUCAGGAUAGCUGGUGCUCGUACGAGUCUCAUCCGGUAAAGCGAAUGAUUAGAGGCCUUGGGGCCGAAACGACCUCAACCUAUUCUCAAACUUUAAAUGGGUGAGAUCUCCGGCUUGCUUGAUAUGCUGAAGCCGCGAGCAAACGACUCGGAUCGGAGUGCCAAGUGGGCCACUUUUGGUAAGCAGAACUGGCGCUGUGGGAUGAACCAAACGCCGAGUUAAGGCGCCCGAAUCGACGCUCAUGGGAAACCAUGAAAGGCGUUGGUUGCUUAAGACAGCAGGACGGUGGCCAUGGAAGUCGGAAUCCGCUAAGGAGUGUGUAACAACUCACCUGCCGAAGCAACUAGCCCUGAAAAUGGAUGGCGCUGAAGCGUCGUGCCUAUACUCGGCCGUCAGUCUGGCAGUCAUGGCCGGUCCUUGCGGCCGGCCGCGAAGCCCUGACGAGUAGGAGGGUCGGGGCGGUGGGCGCAGAAGGGUCUGGGCGUGAGCCUGCCUGGAGCCGCCGUCGGUGCAGAUCUUGGUGGUAGUAGCAAAUACUCCAGCGAGGCCCUGGAGGGCUGACGCGGAGAAGGGUUUCGUGUGAACAGCCGUUGCACACGAGUCAGUCGAUCCUAAGCCCUAGGAGAAAUCCGAUGUUGAUGGGGGCCGUCAUAGCAUGAUGCGCUUUGUGCUGGCCCCCGUUGGGCGAAAGGGAAUCCGGUUCCUAUUCCGGAACCCGGCAGCGGAACCGAUACAAGUCGGGCCCCUCUUUUAGAGAUGCUCGUCGGGGUAACCCAAAAGGACCCGGAGACGCCGUCGGGAGAUCGGGGAAGAGUUUUCUUUUCUGCAUGAGCGUUCGAGUUCCCUGGAAUCCUCUAGCAGGGAGAUAGGGUUUGGAACGCGAAGAGCACCGCAGUUGCGGCGGUGUCCCGAUCUUCCCCUCGGACCUUGAAAAUCCGGGAGAGGGCCACGUGGAGGUGUCGCGCCGGUUCGUACCCAUAUCCGCAGCAGGUCUCCAAGGUGAAGAGCCUCUAGUCGAUAGAAUAAUGUAGGUAAGGGAAGUCGGCAAAUUGGAUCCGUAACUUCGGGAUAAGGAUUGGCUCUGAGGAUCGGGGCGUGUCGGGCUUGGUCGGGAAGUGGGUCAGCGCUAACGUGCCGGGCCUGGGCGAGGUGAGUGCCGUAGGGGUGCCGGUAAGUGCGGGCGUUUAGCGCGGGCGUGGUCUGCUCUCGCCGUUGGUCGGCCUCGUGCUGGUCGGCGGUGCAGGAUGCGCGCGCCUGCGCGGCGUUCGCGCCCCGGUGCUUCAACCUGCGUGCAGGAUCCGAGCUCGGUCCCGUGCCUUGGCCUCCCACGGAUCUUCCUUGCUGCGAGGCCGCGUCCGCCUUAGCGUGCUCCUCCGGGGGCGCGCGGGUGCGCGGAUUCUCUUCGGCCGCCAUUCAACGAUCAACUCAGAACUGGCACGGACUGGGGGAAUCCGACUGUCUAAUUAAAACAAAGCAUUGCGAUGGCCCUAGCGGGUGUUGACGCAAUGUGAUUUCUGCCCAGUGCUCUGAAUGUCAACGUGAAGAAAUUCAAGCAAGCGCGGGUAAACGGCGGGAGUAACUAUGACUCUCACAGCGGCCGCGCCAACCAUCGAAGCGGCCGCCUGCCGCGCCGCCGACGCAGAAGCGCAAGCGGCGCCGCUGGGAGUACGCGAGAACGCAGGAUGCCUUCCGACGGUCGCGUGCACGUUGCGUGCGCGGCCUCUUGGAUGGCACCCUGCUCCAGCCGCCACCUGCCAUCCCUGGUCUGCUGGACUUCUGGGCGGACCUCUUCACCAAGAAGCCCAUCUCCACCGCGGGCUUCAUUCGUGACCGCCUCCUCCCGCACUCAGAGCCUGUCGCUCUUGAGUGCAUAUGGGGGCCGGUCACACAUGAGGAGGUCGCCGCCGCGUUGCCGCCCAGGGGAUCAGCAGCCGGGCCGGACGGCCUUACCCCAGCGGAGUUGCGGCGCCUGCCGCACGAAGUCCUGGUGAAAGUGAUGAAUCUCUUCCUUCUGGCCCGCGCCCUUCCGGAACGCCUGCUUCGCGCGCGGACGUCCCUUCUCCCGAAAACGGCUGCACCAACAUCCCCCGCUGACUUUCGCCCCAUUACGGUCUGCUCGGUGUUGGCGCGGACCUUUCACAAGGUUCUCGCGUCACGCCUGAUGCGCGCAUGUGCUGUGGACGAACGUCAGCGGGCAUUCAUCCCUCGGGAUGGGAUGUUGGAAAAUACCUUCAUCUUGGACACUGCUCUCACCGACGCAGUUCGCUCCUGCCGCUCUGUCUUUGUGGCGUCGAUCGACGUAUCUAAGGCAUUCGAUUCGGUAGAUCAUGCUGCCCUUCGCCCCGUGCUGAAGGCGCAUGGCCUGCCGGAUUGCUUUGUCGAGUAUGUCGAGCGGUGCUACGAGGGCAGCACGACAGUGAUAGCGGACGGCGCCGGCGUGGGCGUGUCUGUGCAGCCAGCACGGGGCGUUCGCCAGGGCGAUCCCCUCUCCCCCCUCCUGUUCAACUUUGCGGUGGACUACGUUUUAGGCCAACUGCCCUCCCACAUCGGAGCUCGGAUCCUCGGUCGCAGAGUCAACGCUGCGGCCUUUGCAGAUGACGUCUUGCUGUUUGCAGCGACCCCGAGGGGCUUGCAGUCCCUCAUCGACGCAGCUACCGCAGCCCUCGCCCACCUGGGGCUGCAGAUCAACGCCCGGAAGUGUUUCACCCUCGCCUUAGUCGCGUCAGGGCGCGAGAAGAAGGUGAAGGUGGACAGCAAUGUCACCUUCACAGCAGGCAAUACCACCAUGCCUGCCCUGCGUGUGGGUGAAACCUUCCGGUACCUGGGGCUGCAAUUUUCCACGGCGGGUCGCUGUGUCUUCAAUCCACGUAGCCACCUGGUGGAGCAGCUUGACGUCAUCUCCCGAGCUCCGCUGAAGCCGCAACAGCGCCUCCACGCUCUCACCAACGUACUUCUCCCUGGCCUGUACCACGGGCUGGCCCUCAGCCGCACCCGGGUGGGUGCAUUGAAGUCGGCCGACGUUACCAUCCGGGCCGCCGUCAGGAGAUGGUUCCGCCUUCCGGCGGACACCCCCCUGGGAUACUUCCACGCUCCUGUUGCCCAGGGGGGCCUCGGCAUUCCAUCUUGCCGAUGGAUGGGUCCGACCCUCCGUCGGUCCCGUCUCCUGGCGCUGAAGAAGAUAGGGCCAGCCUGCGACGGUGCAGGCAUGGAUGAGGUGCAGCGUGAGAUCGAGGUGCUGGAGCGCCACCUAAUGUGGGAGGGCCACCUCCUCAAAUCGUCAACGCAGGUUGGGGAAAUGUGGGCGGCGCGCCUACACAUCGCCAUUGACGGUGCGGCACUGUCAUCUUCUGCCGCCGUCAGUGGCCAACAUCAGUGGGUCGCCGACACCAGUCGCCUGCUAUCUGGGCGUGAAUACAUCGACGCCCUCCGCGCCCGCAUCAACGCCUUCCCUACGAAGGCACGGCGCAGUCGCGGGCGGGAGGCGGACACCAGAUGCCGCGCGGGGUGCCAGGCCGUGGAGACCGCCAACCACGUACUUCAGGCUUGCUUUAGGACGCACGGGUCCCGGGUCAAGCGCCAUGACGCUGUAGUGCGUUAUGUCGCCCGUGGACUCGCGCAGAGGGGCUUCAAUGUCUCUGUGGAGCCCCACCUCCGAACACCUGAGGGCAUCCGCAAGCCUGACGUGGUGGCGGUCAAAGACGGCAUCGCCCG